AUGCCUAAUACAUGCAAGUCGAACGCGUGGAGCGAUCCACGAGUGGCGCACGGGUGAGUAACGCGUGGGAACCUGCCCUGGAGUGGGGGAUAACCCGGCGAAAGCCGGGCUAAUACCGCAUACGCCCCACUGUCGCGAGACGGUGGGGGAAAGAUUUAUCGCUCGAGGAGGGGCCCGCGUCGGAUUAGCUAGUUGGUGGGGUAACGGCCUACCAAGGCGAUGAUCCGUAGCUGGUCUGAGAGGAUGAUCAGCCACACUGGGACUGAGACACGGCCCAG
rnacentral:rRNA from 1 species